rnacentral:sRNA from 1 species
GCCAGGUGUGGUGGCGCAGGCCUGUAAUCCCAGCAGCUUGGAAGGCUGAGGCAGGAGGAUUGUGAGUUCAAGGCCAGCCUCAGCAACUUAGCAAGGCCCUUAGUAACUCAGUGAGUCCUGUCUCUA